UACGGAGGGCGCGAGCGUUGUCCGGAAUCACUGGGCGUAAAGGGCGCGUAGGCGGCCCUGGUAAGUCUGCGGUGAAAGCCCGGGGCUCAACCCCGGGUCGGCCGCGGGUACUGCCGGGGCUGGAGUGCCGUAGGGGCAGGCGGAAUUCCGGGUGUAGCGGUGGAAUGCGUAGAGAUCCGGAAGAACACCGGUGGCGAAGGCGGCCUGCUGGGCGGCGACUGACGCUGAGGCGCGACAGCGUGGGGAGCAAACAGG
rnacentral:rRNA from 1 species